AGGAGGAGGCCAGCCGCAAGGGGGGAGGAUUGAGGAGAGAGUUACGGGAGAAAGAGUAAACGGCAAAAGAAAACAUCAUAGAGAGACGGACGGCUGCAAGGAUCUGGAGAAAGGAAAGAAAUCUGGGAAAAGUCCGAAAGAGAGUUUGGGGUGGCGGCGGAGAGCUUGACAGCCUGGUGAGAGGAAAGGGAAAUAGCAAAGAGGGGGCAUCGAUUGACUGCGGCAAAGAUUUGGAAAGGCUAGUGAUGGUUGAGAAGUUGGUUGGACGGCUGAAACCAGAAGGAGACCGAAAGAAACCCCAAGCAGCGACUUCAUCAGACUCUGCAAUCGAUUUCUUCAUCACCCAAGCUGAAGCUUCAAACCCAAAGGUGGUCAACAGGUAUGUGAUUGGAUGUGGAGUUGGCAUUUGGGAGUGAAACAUGAAGGAAAUGCAGCUGAAUUGGCGCAGAAAUGAAAGGCUUCUACGUGUUUUGCAUGCAUGGAUAAUUUCAGAAUUGUCUCUUAACCCCCCAAGUCUCCCCUUGUUCUACUAUGACCCAGAAAUUGGAAGGAUUAAUCAAUUUAGUCCAUGAGAUUUUGCAGCAAUGCUACAAA